rfam:Spirochaetes bacterium GWF1_49_6 gwf1_scaffold_2844, whole genome shotgun sequence.
GCCCAGGUGGUGAAACUGGUAGACACGCUGGACUCAAAAUCCAGUGGUAGUGAUAUCAUGCGGGUUCGAUUCCCGCCCUGGGCA